rnacentral:rRNA from 1 species
UGCCAGCAGCCGCGGUAAUACGGAGGGUGCAAACGUUGUUCGGAAUCACUGGGCAUAAAGCGCACGUAGGCGGCCUUGCCAGUCUGAUGUGAAAGCCCCCGGCUCAACCGGGGAACUGCAUUGGAAACUGGCGAACUUGAGUACGGGAGAGGAAAGUGGAAUUCCGAGUGUAGGGGUGAAAUCCGUAGAUAUUCGGAGGAACACCAGUGGCGAAGGCGGCUUUCUGGACCGAUACUGACGCUGAGACGCGAAAGCGUGGGGAGCAAACAGGAUAAGAUA